rnacentral:rRNA from 1 species
CCUCCACCCAAGGGUGAUCCCGUGUUUGAGCUUAAACCAUUACCUGAUACUCUUAAAUAUGCUUAUCUUGAUGAAAAGAAGAUAUAUCCUGUUAUUAUUAGUGCUAAUCUUUCAGAGCAAGAAGAAGAGAAAUUAUUGAAAACUCUGAAGAAGCACCGUGCUGCUAUUGGAUAUACCCUUGAUGAUCUUAAGGGCAUUAGUCCCACUUUAUCCCAACACAAAAUAAAAUUGGAGAAAGGCGCUAAACCGAUUGUUGAUCACCAACCCAGGUUAAAUCCUAAGAUGAAAGAAGUGGUAAGAAAAGAAAUACUAAAGCUUAUGGAGGCAGGUAUAAUCUAUCCCGUUGCUAAUAGUUAG